rnacentral:rRNA from 3 species
UACGAAGGGGGCAAGCGUUGUUCGGAAUGACUGGGCGUAAAGGGCGCGUAGGCGGUUCGUUGCGUCAGAUGUGAAAGCCCCGGGCUCAACCUGGGAACUGCAUUUGAUACGGGCGAGCUUGAAUCCAAGAGAGGGUGGUGGAAUUCCCAGUGUAGAGGUGAAAUUCGUAGAUAUUGGGAAGAACACCAGUGGCGAAGGCGGCCACCUGGCUUGGUAUUGACGCUGAGGCGCGAAAGCGUGGGGAGCAAACAGG